AACUCCCCCGGGGCGCGCCCCGGGCGGGGCGGGGGCACGGGGGGAACGCGAAGAACCUUACCUACUCUUGACAUCCAGAGAACUUAGCAGAGAUGCUUUGGUGCCUUCGGGAACUCUGAGACAGGUGCUGCAUGGCUGUCGUCAGCUCGUGUUGUGAAAUGUUGGGUUAAGUCCCGCAACGAGCGCAACCCUUAUCCUUUGUUGCCAGCGGUUCGGCCGGGAACUCAAAGGAGACUGCCAGUGAUAAACUGGAGGAAGGUGGGGAUGACGUCAAGUCAUCAUGGCCCUUACGAGUAGGGCUACACACGUGCUACAAUGGCAUAUACAAAGAGAAGCGACCUCGCGAGAGCAAGCGGACCUCAUAAAGUAUGUCGUAGUCCGGAUUGGAGUCUGCAACUCGACUCCAUGAAGUCGGAAUCGCUAGUAAUCGUAGAUCAGAAUU
rnacentral:rRNA from 1 species